rnacentral:rRNA from 1 species
UGAACGCUGGCGGCGUGCCUAACACAUGCAAGUCGAGCGGUAUAUGUUUAACAAAUACUUCGGAAGAGUGAGAGCGAUAGAGAGCGGCGGACGGGUGAGUAACGCGUAGGCAACCUGCCCCAUACAGAGGGAUAGCCUCGGGAAACCGGGAUUAAAACCUCAUAACGCGAAAGAGUCACAUGGCUCUUUCGCCAAAGAUUUAUCGGUAUGGGAUGGGCCUGCGUCUGAUUAGCUAGUUGGUGGGGUAACGGCUCACCAAGGCAACGAUCAGUAGCCGACCUGAGAGGGUAAUCGGCCACAUUGGGACUGAGACACGGCCCAAACUCCUACGGGAGGCAGCAGUAGGGAAUCUUCCGCAAUGGACGAAAGUCUGACGGAGCAACGCCGCGUGAGUGAAGAAAGGUUUUCGGAUCGUAAAACUCUGUUGUCAGAGAAGAACAAGUUGGAGAGUAACUGCUCCAGCCUUGGCGGUAUCUGACCAGAAAGCCACGGCUAACUACGUGCCAGCCGCCGC